rnacentral:rRNA from 1 species
AGAACGAACGCUGGCGGCAGGCCUAACACAUGCAAGUCGAACGCCCCGCAAGGGGAGUGGCAGACGGGUGAGUAACGCGUGGGAACAUACCUUUCGGUUCGGAAUAGCUCAGGGAAACUUGAAUUAAUACCGGAUACGUCCGCAAGGAGAAAGAUUUAUCGCCGAAAGAUUGGCCCGCGUCCGAUUAGCUAGUUGGUAAGGUAAUGGCUUACCAAGGCGACGAUCGGUAGCUGGUCUGAGAGGAUGAUCAGCCACACUGGGACUGAGACACGGCCCAGACUCCUACGGGAGGCAGCAGUGGGGGAUAUUGGACAAUGGGCGCAAGCCUGAUCCAGCCAUGCCGCGUGAGUGAUGAAGGCCCUAGGGUUGUAAAGCUCUUUCGUCAGGGACGAUAAUGACGGUACCUGAAGAAGAAGCCCGGCUAACUUCGUGCCAGCAGCCGC